GACGAACGCUGGCGGCGUGCCUAAUACAUGCAAGUCGAACGCAGUGGGGACGGGUGAUUAACACGUGGCUAACCUCCCAUCAGAGGGGAUAACACUUGGAAACAGGUGCUAAACCGAUAUUGAUUGAUGGACCCUCGGUGCAUUAGCUAGUUGGUGAGGUAACGGCUAACCAAGGACACGAUGGAUAGCGGACCUGAGAGGGUGCUCGGCCAGACUGGGACGGAGACACGGCCCAGACUCCUACGGGAGGCAGCAGUAGGGAAUCUUCGGCAAUGGACGAAAGUCUGACCGAGCAACGCCGCGUGAGUGAAGAAGGUGUUCGGAUCGUAAAACUCUGUUGUUAGAGAAGCGGUAUCUAACCAGAAAGCCACGGCUAACUACGUGCCAGCAGCCGCGGUAAUAC
rnacentral:rRNA from 1 species